UACGGAGGGAGCUAGCGUUAUUCGGAAUUACUGGGCGUAAAGCGCACGUAGGCGGCUUUGUAAGUCAGAGGUGAAAGCCUGGAGCUCAACUCCAGAACUGCCUUUGAGACUGCAUCGCUUGAAUCCAGGAGAGGUGAGUGGAAUUCCGGGUGUAGUGGUGAAAUGCGUAGAGAUCCGGAGGAACGCCUGUGGCGCAAGCGGCCACCUGGGCCUGACCUGACGCUGAGGUGCGAAAGCGUGGGGAGCGAACCGG
rnacentral:rRNA from 1 species